AAGUCGUAACAAGGUUUCCGUAGGUGAACCUGCGGAAGGAUCAUUAACACGUAUCCAAACGUUAAAACCCCCCCCGUGAACCUUCAUCCUGCUCUUGUAACCCGCGUAGUUCUAGCCCGGAAAGUUGUAGUGAUCCAGAGACCUCUGGCUACGUGCGAACAUUGGAACAGUUACAAUCGAGAGAAUGUAAUACAUUGGGUAAAAAAACCGAACAACUGUUAACAAUGGAUAUCUUGGUUCUC
rnacentral:misc_RNA from 1 species